UACGUAGGUGGCAAGCGUUGUCCGGAUUUACUGGGCGUAAAGAGCGCGCAGGCGGUCGUUCAAGUCGCGUGUGAAAGCCCCCGGCUCAACUGGGGAGGGUCACGCGAUACUGAUCGACUCGAAGGCAGGAGAGGGUAGUGGAAUUCCCGGUGUAGUGGUGAAAUGCGUAGAUAUCGGGAGGAACACCAGUGGCGAAGGCGGCUCUCUGGGACGGUACUGACGCUGAGACGCGAAAGCGUGGGGAGCGAACAGG
rnacentral:rRNA from 1 species